rnacentral:rRNA from 1 species
CCUUCUGAAAGGAAGAUUAAUACAAGAUGGCAUCAUGAGUCCACAUGUUCACAUGAUUAAAGGUAUUCCGGUAGACGAUGGGGAUGCGUUCCAUUAGAUAGUAGGCGGGGUAACGGCCCACCUAGUCUUCGAUGGAUAGGGGUUCUGAGAGGAAGGUCCCCCACAUUGGAACUGAGACACGGUCCAAACUCCUACGGGAGGCAGCAGUGAGGAAUAUUGGUCAAUGGGCGAGAGCCUGAACCAGCCAAGUAGCGUGAAGGAUGACUGCCCUAUGGGUUGUAAACUUCUUUUAUAAAGGAAUAAAGUCGGGUAUGCAUACCCGUUUGCAUGUACUUUAUGAAUAAGGAUCGGCUAACUCCGUGCCAGCAGCCGCGGUAAUACGGAGGAUCCGAGCGUUAUCCGGAUUUAUUGGGUUUAAAGGGAGCGUAGAUGGAUGUUUAAGUCAGUUGUGAAAGUUUGCGGCUCAACCGUAAAAUUGCAGUUGAUACUGGAUGUCUUGAGUGCAGUUGAGGCAGGCGGAAUUCGUGGUGUAGCGGUGAAAUGCUUAGAUAUCACGAAGAACUCCGAUUGCGAAGGCAGCCUGCUAAGCUGCAACUGACAUUGAGGCUCGAAAGUGUGGGUAUCAAACAGGAUUAGAUACCCUGGUAGUCCACACGGUAAACGAUGAAUACUCGCUGUUUGCGAUAUACUGC